GUGAACUUCAUACUUUUUCUUGACAUUUUUUUACAAACAAGGGUACAUAAUGAACUUAUGUUCAUGUUCAACAAGCAAACAAAAAACACGAUUUUAGAAACAAAAUAAAGUACGGUAAAUUUCCGAGAGCUCCCGACGGAGCACAUGUUCACUGCAUAGGAGGUUGGGGGCGCACAUGAUCCCGCAUCCGGCUGGAGGUUGCACGUCUGUCGCUGAUGAACUGCAACCGCAUGCAAAAAUGCCCAAGGCUGCAAGCGCUUGAGGACUAAACUGCAUCACGGGCACCUCCGAGCUACACUGUCACGGUCGCCGAACUACAAGCACAAAAAUAGGAAGGAAGGGGAGGAAGUGGGGAGCAGGCGGUUUCUCAUCUGCAUCAGGUGAAUGAAACUAAAAAAAUGGAAAGAGAAACAACUGGUUGAUGAACUUCAUGUCCACGGCCACCGAAUCGCAGUGGACGCACAAGAGAGCUGCAUAACCAUCAACCGUGAACCAUGUUUAGAGCAUAAACAUAUGAAUUUUUCAACAAAAAUAACAAAAAAACUCAGUGGCUGGGCAGAAGAGGAAGCCUCAUGCCACCGGACAGCUAGCACGCUCACCGUUGGACUGAAAAUCUAGUCGCACCGCACUGA
rnacentral:lncRNA from 1 species